CGGGCACCGACGAGGCGCCGCCCAAGGGCAAAGGGAAGGGAGAGGACGCAUGGCAGGUCCGUUCGCUCACGGAUUUUCUCAAGCUUCCAUUGGACCAAGGUGGUGGUGAAGGAAAGGCUCUGUACAUUGAUGAAGAGGGGACAUUCAGACCACAGAGGCUCCUCCAGAUAGCAGACAGGUUUGGAUUAAAUGAUGCUGAUGUAUUAGAGAAUGUGGCUUAUGCAAGAGCU